AGGGUCAUAGGUCAGUGGUACAGCUUCUUCGUUACAUGGAGAAGGUCCCAAGUUCAAUCCCUGGCAUCUCUA